rnacentral:rRNA from 1 species
CAGCAAACCUAUAAAGCAUCUCCUGCCCAGUGACAUAGUUCAACGGCCGCGGUAUCCUAACCGUGCAAAGGUAGCAUAAUCACUUGCCUAUUAAUUGUAGGCUGGAAUGAAAGGAAUAACGAAAUAAAUACUGUCUCAUAUAGAUAAAUAUAAACUAUACUUUAGCUGAAGAGUGCUAAAUAAAUUUGAAGGACAAGAAGACCCUAUAGAGCUUAAUUUUAAAAUAUAGUACAUAAAUUAUAAAAUUCGGUUGGGGCGACCUAGGAAUAAACAUCAUCCUAAAAUAAAAAGAUUUAUAAAUCUCACUAAUGACCCUUAAAAGAUCACUAGACAAGCUACCUUAGGGAUAACAGGCUAAUCUUAUUAAAGAGUCCAUAUCAAUAAUAAGGGUUGGCACCUCGAUGUUGGCUUAGGGCAUCUAUAAGGCGCAAAAGUCUUAUAAAGAUGGUUUGUUCAACCAGUAAACCCUACGUGAUCUGAGUUCCAGACCGGA